rnacentral:rRNA from 1 species
CGUUAGCGGCGGACGGGUGAGUAACACGUGGGUGACCUACCUAUAAGACUGGGAUAACUCCGGGAAACCGGGGCUAAUACCGGAUAAUACAUGAAACCGCAUGGUUUCAUGAUGAAAGACGGUUUUGCUGUCACUUAUAGAUGGACCCGCGGCGUAUUAGCUAGUUGGUAAGGUAACGGCUUACCAAGGCAACGAUACGUAGCCGACCUGAGAGGGUGAUCGGCCACACUGGAACUGAGACACGGUCCAGACUCCUACGGGAGGCAGCAGGA